rnacentral:rRNA from 1 species
CCUACGGGAGGCAGCAGUGAGGAAUAUUGGUCAAUGGACGAGAGUCUGAACCAGCCAAGUAGCGUGAAGGAUGACUGUCCUAUGGGUUGUAAACUUCUUUUAUAUGGGAAUAAAAUGUUCCACGUGUGGGAUUUUGUAUGUACCAUAUGAAUAAGGAUCGGCUAACUCCGUGCCAGCAGCCGCGGUAAUACGGAGGAUCCGAGCGUUAUCCGGAUUUAUUGGGUUUAAAGGGAGCGUAGGUGGAAUGUUAAGUCAGUUGUGAAAGUUUGCGGCUCAACCGUAAAAUUGCAGUUGAAACUGGCAGUCUUGAGUACAGUAGAGGUGGGCGGAAUUCGUGGUGUAGCGGUGAAAUGCUUAGAUAUCACGAAGAACUCCGAUUGCGAAGGCAGUUCACUGGACUGCAACUGACGCUGAGGCUCGAAAGUGUGGGUAUCAAACAGGAUUAGAUACCCGAGUAGUC